rnacentral:rRNA from 1 species
AUGGCCGACGAAGUUCAGGCGCUCACCAAGGCCUUCUCAGGUCUGGGAGGUCUGGGCGUGGACGAGCCGACGAUGGUGGCGGCGCUGGCGAACUGGCGGAGGCAGCCGGAGAAGCGGUCCGGGUUCCGAAAGAGCUUCCCGGGUCUGUUCAAGGAGCACGGGGUGAUCGAGCGGUGCGAGGACGAGUACAUGCUGCACCUGGCCGCCGAGUUCUCCCGCUUCAAGAACCUGAUGGUGCUGUGGGCGAUGCACCCGUGGGAGCGCGACGCCCGCCUCGCGCACCACGUCCUCCACCAGGCACACCCGGCCGCCAUCGUCGUGGAGGUCGCCUGCACCCGCUCCGCCGAGGAGCUCCUCGGCGCGCGCAAGGCCUACAUGGCGCUCUUCCACCACUCCCUCGAGGAGGACGUCGCCUACCGCGCCAAGGACAAGCCAUACUGCAGCCUGCUGGUGGGGCUGGUGAGCGCGUACCGGUACGAAGGGCCCAAGGUGAGCGACGACACGGCCAAGGCGGAGGCCAAGGCGCUGGGCGCGGCGGUGAAGAGCGCCGCCGGCGGCAAGCUGGUGGAGAACGACGAGGUGGUCAGGAUCCUCACCACCAGGAGCAAGCCUCACCUCGUCCAGACCUUCAAGUACUACAAGGAGCUGCACGGCAAGCACAUCGAGGAGGAUCUUGGAAGCGAGGAGGCUCUGAGGGAGGCCGUGCAGUGCCUGGCGACGCCGGAGAGGUACUUCAGCCAGGUGAUGGCGGCGGCGCUGAGGGAGGGCGCGGACCACCACGGCAAGGAGGCCCUGGCGCGGGUGGCGGUGACGCGGUCGGACGUGGACAUGGACGGCAUCCGGGCGGCCUACCAGGAGCAGUUCGGGGCCAAGCUCGAGGACGCCGUCGCCGGCAGCGCGCACGGGCACUUCAGGGACGCGCUCGUCUCGCUCAUCGUCGGCAAGUAA